AGAGUUUGAUCCUGGCUUAGGAUGAACGCUGGCGGCGUGCUUAACACAUGCAAGUCGAACGGAACACCGUUUUCGGAAUGGUGUUAGUGGCGGACGGGUGAGUAACGCGUGGGUAACCUGCCUCGAACUGGGGGAUAACGGUUGGAAACGACCGCUAAUACCGCAUAAGCCCACAGUACCGCAUGGUACAGAGGGAAAAGAUUUAUCGGUUUGAGAUGGACCCGCGUCUGAUUAGUUAGUUGGUGGGGUAACGGCCUACCAAGACGACGAUCAGUAGCCGACCUGAGAGGGUGAUCGGCCACAUUGGGACUGAGACACGGCCCAAACUCCUACGGGAGGCAGCAGUGGGGAAUAUUGCGCAAUGGGGGAAACCCUGACGCAGCCAACGCCGCGUGAGUGAGGAAGUAUUUCGGUAUGUAAAGCUCUAUCAGCGGGGACGAAGAUGACGGUACCCGCAGAAGAAGUCCCGGCUAACUACGUGCCAGCAGCAGC
rnacentral:rRNA from 1 species